rnacentral:lncRNA from 1 species
UAGUAGGGUUACCCAUAGGUGAUUAGUGUUUUAGCUUAUGUCUCCAUAUGGUUGUUAAUAUGGUAGUUACUGUUUGUUAUUAUUGCAUUAUUGCAUGCGGCUGUAUUUAUGUUGCUUAUGUUUUCAUGAGUACUUACGUUAUUAUUGCAGGAGUACUAUGCUUUAUUAUUUUGUUUUGUUUUGCUUGUGUUUCUAAUUUUACCUUUGUUUUCGUAAUGCGGCUUUCCCUCUUUUUAUCCUACACGCCGAGGGUCGUUUGGAAACAGUCUCUCUGCCCUUACGGGCAGGGGUAAGGCUCGUCUACAUAUUACCCUCCCCAUACCCUACCUGGUGGGAUAACUGGGUAGUUGCUGUUGUUGUUGUU